GUAGGGAAUAUUGGGCAAUGGGGGAAACCCUGACCCAGCAACGCCGCGUGAGGGAAGAAGGCCUAACGGUUGUAAACCUCUGUCAUAUGGGAAGAAGGAAUGACAGUACCAUAUGAGGAAGCUCCGGCUAACUACGUGCCAGCAGCCGCGGUAAUACGUAGGGAGCAAGCGUUGUCCGGAAUUACUGGGCGUAAAGGGUGCGUAGGCGGCAUGUUAAGUUAGAUGUCAAAUACCCGGGCUUAACCCGGGGAAGCAUCUAAAACUGGUGUGCUUGAGUGCAGGAGAGGAAAGCGGAAUUCCUAGUGUAGCGGUGGAAUGCGUAGAUAUUAGGAGGAACACCAGUGGCGAAGGCGGCUUUCUGGACUGUAACUGACGCUGAAGCACGAAAGCGUGGGGAGCAAACAGGAUUAGAUACCCGAGUAGUCC
rnacentral:rRNA from 1 species